UGUCCCUACGGGGGGCAGCAGUAGGGAAUCUUCCACAAUGGGGGAAAGCCUGAUGGAGCAACGCCGCGUGGGUGAAGAAGGUCUUCGGAUCGUAAAACCCUGUCGUUAGAGAAGAAAGUGCGUGAGAGCAACUGCUCACGUUUCGACGGUAUCUAACCAGAAAGCCACGGCUAACUACGUGCCAGCAGCCGCGGUAAUACGUAGGUGGCAAGCGUUAUCCGGAUUUAUUGGGCGUAAAGAGAACGCAGGCGGUCUUUUAAGUCUGAUGUGAAAGCCU
rnacentral:rRNA from 1 species